UACGUAGGGGGCAAGCGUUGUCCGGAAUCAUUGGGCGUAAAGAGCUCGUAGGCGGUUCGGCAAGUCGGAUGUGAAAUCUCCACGCUCAACGUGGAGGGGCCAUUCGAAACUGCCGUGACUCGAGUCCGGUAGGGGAGUGUGGAAUUCCCGGUGUGAGCGGUGAAAUGCGCAGAUAUCGGGAGGAACACCAGUAGCGAAGGCGGCACUCUGGGCCGGUACUGACGCUGAGGAGCGAAAGCGUGGGGAGCAACAGG
rnacentral:rRNA from 1 species